rnacentral:rRNA from 1 species
ACGAACGCUGGCGGCGCGCCUAACACAUGCAAGUCGAACGAGCGAGAGAGAGCUUGCUUUCUCGAGCGAGUGGCGAACGGGUGAGUAACGCGUGAGGAACCUGCCUCAAAGAGGGGGACAACAGUUGGAAACGACUGCUAAUACCGCAUAAGCCCACGACCCGGCAUCGGGUAGAGGGAAAAGGAGCAAUCCGCUUUGAGAUGGCCUCGCGUCCGAUUAGCUAGUUGGUGAGGUAACGGCCCACCAAGGCGACGAUCGGUAGCCGGACUGAGAGGUUGAACGGCCACAUUGGGACUGAGACACGGCCCAGACUCCUACGGGAGGCAGCAGUGGGGAAUAUUGCACAAUGGGGGAAACCCUGAUGCAGCGACGCCGCGUGGAGGAAGAAGGUCUUCGGAUUGUAAACUCCUGUUGUUGAGGAAGAUAAUGACGGUACUCAACAAGGAAGUGACGGCUAACUACGUGCCAGCAGCCGCAGUAA